CGCAUGACGGGGUAACUCAGCGUGUGAUUAAGCAGAAGUCAGCAGACGGCAUAGUAGCCCAACGCCCAUCGUAAUGGAUGGGAUAGCAUACCCCGCGCUAGCGUUGUGGGUACAUGGUGAAGGCC
rfam:Shewanella sp. P1-14-1 AN944_contig000005, whole genome shotgun sequence.